rfam:Shigella dysenteriae Sd197, complete genome.
GGACGGAUAAGGCGUUUACGCCGCAUCCGGCAAUCGGUGCAAAUGCCAGAUAAGACACUAACGCGUCUUAUCUGGCC